UAUUAAAUACCAUACGAAUGUCAAAAAGACAAACACUCAUACUCAAGAAUUUCUUGGAGGACUACUUUUACAUGAGUCAUAUUUACCCGUAUUUUCCACACUAUAAAGCACUUUGGAGUAUAAGGCACACCUUCAGUGAAUGGCCUAUUUUAAAAACUGUUUUCAUAUAUAAGGUGCACCGCAUUAUAAGGCGCAUAGAAUAGAAGCUACAAUAGUGGCAGUGGUUGGGAUACGCAGCCACUAGAUUGGAGCUCCGCUAAAGGGAAUACAAUACAAUGCAGCUUUAUUUGUUUCGCGCUUUCAGAACCAAUGCAGCUAUAACAAAGCACUUUAAAGAACAUUUCAAAUAUUACAUCCAAGAAAUCAGAAUACUGACCAUAUAUAAGGUGCAUCGGAUUAUAAGGCGUGAACAUUUUCAUGAACAUUUUGCGAGCAAAAUGUCACUUAAAGAUGACAAGGGUGAAUAAAGGAAAGGAAGCC